rnacentral:rRNA from 1 species
CUACGGGACGCACCAGUGGGGAAUAUUGGACAAUGGACCAAAAGUCUGAUCCAGCAAUUCUGUGUGUUUGAUAAAGGCCUUCGGGUUGUAAAGAACUUUAAGUAGGGAAGAAGAAAGUGACGGUACCUACAGAAUAAGCGACGGCUAAAUACGUGCCAGCAGCCGCGGUAAUACGUAUGUCGCAAGCGUUAUCCGGAAUUAUUGGGCAUAAAGCGCGUCUAGGCGGUUUACUAAGUCUGAUGUGAAAAUGCGGGGCUCAACUCCGUAUUGCGUUGGAAACUGGUAGACUAGAGUAUUGGAGAGGUAGGCGGAACUACAAGUGUAGAGGUGAAAUUCGUAGAUAUUUGUAGGAAUGCCAAUGACGAAGGUAGCUUACUGGACAAAUACUGACGCUGAAGCGCGAAAGCUAGGGGAGCAAACAGGAUUAGAUACCCGGGUAGUC